GAUGAACGCUGGCGGCGUGCCUAAUACAUGCAAGUCGAGCGAACAGAUAAGGAGCUUGCUCCUUUGACGUUAGCGGCGGACGGGUGAGUAACACGUGGAUAACCUACCUAUAAGACUGGGAUAACUUCGGGAAACCGGAGCUAAUACCGGAUAACAUAUUGAACCGCAUGGUUCAAUAGUGAAAGGCGGCUUUGCUGUCACUUAUAGAUGGAUCCGCGCCGUAUUAGCUAGUUGGUAAGGUAACGGCUUACCAAGGCAACGAUACGUAGCCGACCUGAGAGGGUGAUCGGCCACACUGGAACUGAGACACGGUCCAGACUCCUACGGGAGGCAGCAGUAGGGAAUCUUCCGCAAUGGGCGAAAGCCUGACGGAGCAACGCCGCGUGAGUGAUGAAGGUCUUCGGAUCGUAAAACUCUGUUGUCAGGGAAGAACAAAUGUGUAAGUAACUGUGCACAUCUUGACGGUACCUGAUCAGAAAGCCACGGCUAACUACGUG
rnacentral:rRNA from 1 species